ACUGAAUCACGCUCAAGGGAUGGCCCUGUGAUACCGCCAAUUAAUCGUCGUGGGACAGGAGCCCAAUGAGACACUAUAAGAACUGUUGUGGACCAGGGGUCACAGCGAAGGGAUCCGAGACGGGGACAACUGUCAAACUGGCAAACAGCGAGGGGUUAAAACCAGGGAGAAGCAGGGAAAAACAAACACACCUCAAACACCUCACUCAAAAUGAGACUGCUAAUCAAAUUACAAAACGGAGGAAGAAAUCUAACACAGAAAGAAUAUGAUCUUUCUGGAACAGUUUAGCAAAACCUUUAAAUGUGUUUGACGACCAGUAGUUAAUUGUUCUGGGUAUUUAUUUCAUCCCUUAACGUAGUGGCUGAAAACCACAGGAGCAGGAACAUACUGGGUCGGCAGGUGGGUGGGGCCAGUCUGUGGUUGGCAAACUGAGGAACGGCACCCCCUGGAGGUUCGCUCCCUUCCAGGCGAGGCAUCUGGGCAACUGGAACCCCUGGGGGCUCCUGGUGCGCCCCUGUUUCUUCACGUGCACUUCCUGCUUGGCAGCUGUAGGCAGCUGGACUUCGAAAAGCCAGUUCGGGGCACCCUCGGUCCUAAGAAGGGGGCCGAGCCAAGGGAAGCCUGGCUCAUUUUUAUGACCUAGCCUUACAGAUCUCACGGCAGCUUAAGUUGCAUUCUUUUUCUUAGAAGUGAGUCACUAAGGUCAGUACAGGUUCAAGGGAAGGCGAAUUAGAUCGCAUCGUUCCAUGGAAGGCAGGCCAAAGAUUUUGCGGGCGUGUUUUCAGUCUGCCACGGUUGGCUCUCUGGCCUCAAAUUAUGUACUUGUCUUCCCCCCACGUGCAAAUUACAUACAAGCUUCCCAAUAUCUCUAAUAGAGGACUGACUCGGGUUCGAGGUCCAGAACCUCCUUUUCUCUGCCUGGUUCCGAGGUGGAUGAUGGCUCGGGCACAGCUUCUGACAUAGCACCUCAAGUACAGCGUCUCUCAGUCCGAGACCCGGGAACCGGGCACCCAACAUACACUGGUGGGACAGGCCCAGAAAAACUGCUGUAUGAGAGAAUGACUCUCAUCCGUAACAAGGAACCAACUUCUAGAAACACAUACCCAGAAAUCUCACCGACUGGGCUUCACAUGAAGCCACUGAGAGACAAGAAAGUCAAGAUUCUUAGAAGUCCUAACAGUUAAUGGAGAGGAUCUGUGAGGCAUGACCUUAAGAUCCUUCUUCUUCUCUUUUUUUUUUUUUUUGAGAGAGAGAACGAGAGAGUGCUCGCGCGUGUGCACGUGUGCGUGGGAGAAGGGCAGAGGGAGAGGGAGACAGAAUCUUAAGCAGACUCCACAGCCAACACAGAGCCCAAUUCAGGGCUUGACCCCACGACUGUGAGAUUAUGAUCUGAGCAGAAAUCAAGAGUCAGAUGCUCAACCGACUGCCCCAUGAUCCUUCUUCCUUUUGUACUGCCUCCUACCAUUUAAAAUUGCAUGCUGAUACAGUUCCUUUAGAAACAUAAUGGGUUUCCUGUGAAUCAAUUUACAAAAUCCAGUUCAUUAAAAAAAUUACAUACACAAGCAUCAUUGAGAGGCUUCCACUUGGACAGCAGAGAGACCACAAACUGAAGAUUCCUAGAAACCUUAUUGUACUCUUAAGAUGCUUUGAUGGUAUUUUGUCUGGCUAACUGGUUUUCUGAGGCAGUGUCUCGGAUCUUUCCGACAUAUUAACCAGGGACUUACAGUCCUACUUUGGAUGGGAUCUUUUAUCAAUCUGAAUAUCUUGGAAAUCAUGGGAAUAAGAACAAUUUUAUUUUGAAGCCAGCAAGUCCUGGAUCCUUGUAGGUCUUUCUUGAGCUUCUCUCUUUCCUCUCACAUUUUGUGGUAAUUUGUUACAGCAGCAACAGAAAACUAAUUCAGCUAUCCAGUCUCUUUAGUUUUCUUUAACCUAAAACAGUUUCUCAGUCUUUCUUUGUCUUUCAUGACUUUGACACUUUUGAAGAGCAUUUUGUUGAAUAUCCCUCAAUUUACAUUCAUUUGAUAUUUCCCCAUGACUAAAUUCAGGUCAUAAAAUUGUGGCAGGAAUAUCGGUGAUGGAAAAUGCUAUUGUGUUCUUCUCAAUGUAGUCUAUUGAUUUAUCCCAUUACUGAUGAGCUUAAAUUUGAUCAGUUACAGACAAUUGAUUUGUUCCAUUACUAAUGAGGUUAACUUAAAAAAAAUUUUUUUAAUGUUUAUUUAUUUUUGAGAGAGAGAGAGAGAGGAAGAAAGAAAGAUGGAGUCAACAUGAGUAGGAGAGGAGCAGAGAGAGAGGGAGACACAGAAUGUGAAGCAGGCUCCAGGCUCUGAGCUGUCAGCAUAGAGCCCGACACGGGGCUCGAACUCACCAGCUGUGAGAUCAUGACCUGAGCUGAAGUCAGACACUUAACAGGCUGAGCCACCCAGGCACCCCACUAAUGAGGUUAACUUUAAUCAGCUGUGUAAAUUGGUGUACUCUGGGUUUCUCUAUAGCAAAGUUACUCUUUUUGUAAUUAAUAAAUAUUUUGUGGUAAGGUACUUGAAUCCUACAUGCUGCUUCUCAGCAAUACUUAGCCCACUAGUUUAUAUCUGUUGAUGAUUAUCUUGUGAAGUAAUUAUCACUAUGAUUGUUGCCAGUUCAUAGGUUUUUAAUUUCAUUACCCUUCUUCUCUAGUCAUUAGCUGGAAUCCCACUUCCCUACUUAUUUAUAUUUGUUCAUUUAGUUUUUAUUAUCAUGACCUUUUAAAUUCUUUUAUUCCAUGGCUUUUAAUCUGUUGCUGUAUUGGUUUGUUUAUUUUCGCCCAUGUUUUCCUAAAGUAGGCUAGUGGGUGCCACUUCAAAGUGGCUCCUGUGUCAUUUUUCACAUGUUCCAUAUCAUCCUUUGAACAUUUCUUUACUUUCUGGUACCAGGUGUUUCAGGACUGUCUUGUUGUUCUUUCCUUGCUCCAAGUCUUAGAAUUAGCCAUUUUCCAGAGAGCUCCGAACUGGUUAGUGGAGAAUGGUACUUAGAAACCAAGAUCUGGAUAUUUGUGUGCUCACUGCUACUCUGUAUCACUGCUUCUAACCCCUCUUGGAGGCAGAGUUAGGAAAUAUAUGUGUGAGUGUGUGUGUGUGUGUGUAUUUACACAUACAUACCUCUGUCUUUGUAUUACAUGUACACACACUGUUUUUUAUGUGUGUUGUGAACAUAUACCCCUAAAAAUAUUAAUUAAGGGAUUAAAAAUUAUUUUCUCUUCCUCA